AUGGCCAGCGGCUCAGUCGAUAAUUGGUUGGGGAGCACCAGUUUCUCGACGCAGGCCGGCUCGCAGCAGCCGGAGGCACCGCUCUCCCAGUCAUCGCCAAUGGGUUGCAGUUUGGCUGACCAGAAGUGGGACAUAUGGUUUCAUUUAGAAGGAAGAAACUCUGUGAAAAGGGGUAUAUUUGAGUCAGAUAUUUCUUUGCUUACUCUACAAUCACUCAUUGCUAGUGAAGGGUAUGGGGACAGUGAUUACAUGUACUAUGUGAAGGAGGAGGAAAUUGGAUCUGAAAGAGUAAAGUAUUUAGGUAAUGAAGCUAGUGUUCAUGAAAUGUUGGACUUUUUUCAUCAUGUCAAGCUAGUGAACAUAAGGGUUGUGAGAAAUGUUGAACCAGGAAUUAGUACACACGCUAAUGAGAAUUACAUGAACACUCAAGAGAGCUGCUGUGUGAAAAAGGUUGUGGAGCAAUCUGAGCUUCAGAAUUAG
rnacentral:rRNA from 1 species